rnacentral:rRNA from 1 species
UUAGUGGCGAACGGGUGAGUAACACGUGGGCAAUCUGCCCUGCACUCUGGGACAAGCCCUGGAAACGGGGUCUAAUACCGGAUAUUGACCUUCACGGGCAUCUGUGAGGUUCGAAAGCUCCGGCGGUGCAGGAUGAGCCCGCGGCCUAUCAGCUUGUUGGUGAGGUAAUGGCUCACCAAGGCGACGACGGGUAGCCGGCCUGAGAGGGCGACCGGCCACACUGGGACUGAGACACGGCCCAGACUCCUACGGGAGGCAGCAGUGGGGAAUAUUGCACAAUGGGCGAAAGCCUGAUGCAGCGACGCCGCGUGAGGGAUGACGGCCUUCGGGUUGUAAACCUCUUUCAGCAGGGAAGAAGCGAAAGUGACGGUACCUGCAGAAGAAGCGCCGGCUAACUACGUGCCAGCAGCCGCGGUAAUACGUAGGGCGCAAGCGUUGUCCGGAAUUAUUGGGCGUAAAGAGCUCGUAGGCGGCUUGUCACGUCG